GACUGGUGCAGGGAUCUAUGAGAUGAAACCGAAGCAUCUGUUUGGGAGCUUUCCCUGCACUCGCCAGAAAGCCUCGCUAGGGAAGAAAGAGUCUAACUGACUCCAAGAUUCUUGGCUCAGCCAUUACUCAAGCCACAAAUACUCCAGUUAUCCAAUGAGUCAGCGGCCUUCAACCGCACUUUAAAUAAAGGCCUUCUAUCAUGAUAUUUUUCACAUGUGUUUUACUCCCAAUGGUAUAUCCUAUAAAUACUAAGCUUUGAGAUUUCUUUUUACAGAGAUAUGCCCAAACAGUAAUUUCAAGAGAACUAUUGCC
rnacentral:lncRNA from 1 species